rnacentral:rRNA from 1 species
ACAAUGGCAGGUACANAGGGGUGCUACCGGGUGACCGGAUGCCGAUCUCGAAAACCUGUCCCAGUUCGGAUUGGAGGCUGAAACCCGCCUCCAUGAAGUUGGAUUCGCUAGUAAUCGCGCAUCAGCCAUGGCGCGGUGAAUACGUUCCCGGGCCUUGUACACACCGCCCGUCAAGCCAUGGGAGCCGGGGGUGCCUGAAGUUCGUGACCGCAAGGAGCGACCUAGGGCAAAACUGGUGACUGGGGCUAAGUCGUAACAAGGUACC